AUUGAACGCUGGCGGCAGGCCUAACACAUGCAAGUCGAACGAGUGGCGGACGGGUGCGUAAUGUCUGGGAAACUGCCUGAUGGAGGGGGAUAACUACUGGAAACGGUAGCUAAUACCGCAUACCAUCAGAUGUGCCCCGAUGGGAUUAGCUAGUUGGUGGGGUAACGGCUAACCAAGGCGACGAUCCCUAGCUGGUCUGAGAGGAUGACCAGCCACACGGGAACUGAGAAAAGUUCCUGACGCCAACGGUAGGCAGCAGUGGGGAAUAUGGCACAAGGGGAGCAAGCCUGAUGCAGCUAUGCCGCGUGUAUGAAGAAGGCCUUCGGGUUGUAAAGUACUUUCAGCGGGGAGGCGUUACCCGCAGAAGAAGCACCGGCUAACUCCGUGCCAGCAGCCGCGGUAAUUC
rnacentral:rRNA from 1 species